AGGGAGAGAGAAACCUAGUUAUUUCUACAGUGUUUUGAAGAGGUUUUUGAGAGCAUGAACGACCUAGGGCUUUCCCAAUCCGUCCAAGGUUUUCACCCAAGAAUCAAAGAGUUCUUCAAGACCCAAAACCUAGGGUUUGUUGAGGCAUCGUUCAAGGUGAUGGAAAGGCAUUAAUGGUUGUAUAUAAACUUGAAGGAGAAGAUGGGUGAACAAGAUUGAUUGAUUUAAUGGUUACUCCAUAAAUAUAGAUUUUGGAGCAUUGGCAUUGAAGGGAAAACUUGAACAUUCGGUUAGAGGUAAGUCAACGGCUAGAUAAGAAUGGGCAUUGUAUAUUGCUUAUUUGCUUACCUUACAUUUCAGAAUGAACUAUAUAUAUAAAAGUGAAAACCUUUAAGACAGAAAAAGAUUAAAUAGUAUGACUUGUUGCAAUUAUUUACUUGUGUGCAAUUGUUUGAUUUUGUGAAGUUAUAUGUAUUGUUCAGACCUUUAGUUCAUAUUUAGAACAGAAGCCGAUUGGUUUCUUGAUGUGCUAUGAUUGCUUGUUUAUGUGCAAUUUCAUGUACUGCUCAGAUUUUCAGUUCAGAUUCAGAAAAGGGAAUUUGGUCUAGUGGACACUUUAUCCGCGAGGGCCUAGUGUGCGUGAGUUGGUCUAGUGGACACUUUAUCCACGAGGGCCUAGUUUAUUCGGAUUCAAAAAAGAGAAGUAACCAACCUCCCCAGUGUGGGUGACACGGUGGACAUUGCUAGCUACCCCACAUUUACAGGUGCUAACACAUUUAGAUUCGCAUUCAGAAAGGGAAGUGGCCAACCUCCCCUAGUAUGAGUGCCGCCAGAGACAAGGAUAGGAUAGCUAUCCCACACUUGCAGGUGCCAUUGUUUGUGGGAGAUAGGUCGACACCCCUCGUGUGUGUCCCAGAUGCUCAUGUACGCAGGGCCACCAUGUGCAAAGUUUAUUUUUUUAAAACUAACUCAGUUUUCAGCUUCAGUUUCAUAUAUCAGUUUUGCUUCAGCUUUCAGCUUUAAUUCAGUUAUAAGAUAUAGACCCGAUUUUCAGUUUUAGCUUUUAGUGAUAAGUUUUGAUUGAAUGUUCCGAA